rnacentral:rRNA from 1 species
UACGUAGGGUGCAAGCGUUACUCGGAAUUACUGGGCGUAAAGCGUGCGCAGGCGGUUAUAUAAGACAGUUGUGAAAUCCCCGGGCUCAACCUGGGAACUGCAUCUGUGACUGUAUAGCUAGAGUACGGUAGAGGGGGAUGGAAUUCCGCGUGUAGCAGUGAAAUGCGUAGAUAUGCGGAGGAACACCGAUGGCGAAGGCAAUCCCCUGGACCUGUACUGACGCUCAUGCACGAAAGCGUGGGGAGCAAACAGG